rnacentral:sRNA from 13 species
AGACUUUGGCGCGAGCCCAUCUCCAUAUAGAUAAUGGUAUGUAGGAAUAUUAAAAGACU